CAGUAGCCACGGUAAUACGUAGGUGGCAAGCGUUGUCCGGAAUUAUUGGGCGUAAAGGGCUCGCAGGCGGACUGAUAAGUCAGGGGUGAAAUCCCAAGGCUCAACCUUGGAACUGCCUUUGAUACUGUUUGUCUUGAGUUCGAGAGAGGUAAGUGGAACUGCGAGUGUAGAGGUGAAAUUCGUAGAUAUUCGCAAGAACACCAGUGGCGAAGGCGGCUUACUGGCUCGAAACUGACGCUGAGGCGCGAAAGCGUGGGGAGCAAACAGGAUUAGAUACCCGUGUAGUCCCUGUCUCUUAUAC
rnacentral:rRNA from 1 species